GAAAUGCGAUAAGUAAUGUGAAUUGCAGAAUUCAGUGAAUCAUCGAGUCUUUGAACGCACAUUGCGCCCCCUGGCAUUCCGGGGGGCAUGCCUGUCCGAGCGUCAUUGCUGCCCUUCAAGCCCGGCUUGUGUGUUGGGUCGUCGUCCCCUCCGGGGGACGGGCCCGAAAGGCAGCGGCGGCACCGCGUCCGGUCCUCGAGCGUAUGGGGCUUUGUCACCCGCUCGAUAAGGACCGGCCGGGCGCCAGCCGGCGUCUCCAACCUUUUUUUCUCAGGUUGACCUCGGAUCGGGUAGGGAUACCCGCUGAACUUAAGC
rnacentral:misc_RNA from 1 species